GGAUCCUCCGGCAGCCGUGCGUUCUCUUGUACUGCGGCCUCUUGCGGGGCUGCAUGCCAUUAACAGUCCGCAGAGUGUUUGAAGGGUAAAUAAUCUGCUCUUUUCCAUCCGUAUUACUAGCAAAGACCCACUUACACAGGCUCUAUCUGUUCAUUUUUAGAAUAGUUGGAAAUCCUGCAGGAAAAAUGAUACCGUUUCUCACAACAUAGGAGACCAGCCUUCCUCCAUGGAAGUGAGCAGAGCAAACCUUUGGUGACACUCACGCCCUCGAUUACGCGAGUUGACAGUGGUGAAAGUUGGUUAGUGAUCUGGACGCUACUUCAGAGAGGGUCAUAUUUGUAAAGGCAUGGAAACCUGCCCUACGAUCCACUGUGACACACAGGAAAACAUCCAGAGACUCCCAAGUUACAGAAAUUAGCAGCUGAGACAAGGAACUGUCCCUUCAAGUUGUUUCAACUACUACUUCCUCACUAUAGGAAACAAAAAAAUGUUUCCUGUUUAUAAGAACUUUUUUGAAUUCUGUCCCAAAAAUGACAUUUGAAUUCAAAUAUAGUAACAGGGAAAUGGUGGUUCAGCAAAGAGAGAACAGAAAAUGGUUUACUGGCCUGAAACCUACUUGGAUUGGCAGGGUCUGACAGCGUUCUCUAUUUGAGAAAAUAUUUGCCACCGUCAGUCCAGUUACCAAUGGAUAGAUGCUCGCUUAGAAAAGCAUAAUCAUAUUUGCUGGAAAUUUCAGCAGAAACACCAAAGAACAUGUGAAUAUGUUCUUGCUUAGCACUUGCUAAUCUCUCUCACGCAUCUAGAAUGCAUCUUCGUGAGAUGAUUCCUUGGGGGGAGAUCCACUGGCAGGAUGAUAAAUUCUGUAUAAUCACAAAGAAUUAAAUAGCUUAACUGUCUCAGAUCCUGCCAAGCUAUGGAUGGUAUCGUUUCUCUGUCAUUACUCUUAGAAAAAUGCCAUCAUAUUUUCCCAAGGGCUCAGCAGGGAAGUCAAAGACCCUGUGGAUAUACAGUACCAAUGAAUCUGUCCUUCAGCCGCCAAUGUUGUGAGCAUUUGGACACGCUAAAGAGACCACAUUGGAAGGGGGAGGAAAGAAAAGGGAGAAAACAAAUGAGGCCACAGUGAAGUCUUUCUAAAAAGUCUCGGGGGAAUCAUUGCUUAUCAUGCUAAUAAACCCCUGAGGUAUCUUGCGUUGAACUUAGGAAUUCUGAGCAGAAAUGCAGGCGACUGUAUCUGUAACUAAAGUGUAAAAUACAAAUAUGUCUUAGACCAAGAGGAACCUGCAGUACAACUGGUAGACUGCACUUACCUGUCUAGUCCCUUCCCAUCCUAACGGUUAGUCCCUGAGCUUUAUGUAUAUCCGUGAAAGCAAGCGUUUGUACGCAGGCCCAAAUUAUUUUACAUUGUGUAAUAGAUAGGGGCAUGCUGAAACAGACUGUGGUUUUUGCACUGGCUGUGCUUGAAUGUAUGUGUAGUGAAUGAAACGCUGUGUGGAAAGAAACUGUGACUAGCUAGGAGAAACCCAUCAUCGCUAAACCAGACACUAGACUCCUGGUGAAAAUGCUAUAGAAGUUGACAUCUCCAGAACACAGAACCCAGGGAUUCUUAUCCCUAACGAUAAUGUUCAGAAGCAUGAACUUUUGGAGGGCCUAAAGAAGACUCGUGCUUGUGCCAGGACCGGUGACUUUCCCAACCUCAAGCUGCCUUUCUCCUCCUUUUCUGUGACAUCUGUAUGGGAAAAUGGAUCUGCAAGGCCCCAAGCGUGCUACUGCUCACUAGAGAGGCAGUAUGUAUGUCAGAAGGAAAAGAACCCUUAAAUCAUGUUGUUCCAGUGAGCUUUGUGAAACUGAGGCAUUCUGCUAGCUUACUGACACAUUCCACUAGCUUACUGUUCCCUGGAGACCUGCACAAGAGCGGGUAUUUCCGCAGGGCAAUUGUGGUAAACAGCUGACCUGGCACAUUCACCCAAACAUGCAGCAUGAAGAGGAACCACAAAGAUAGGCACAGAUAGACAGCACAGACUGCAUUUAUCCAAAGGGCACAUUUCUGUUAUCAUCAGACGGUGAUGAGGAUCCUUUUCCGCUGGGGUCUUGCCUGCAGGACCGACGAGAUUUCCUGGACAGGUUGCAAGCUGAACGCUACGUUAACAGCAGCAAGCAGUACUGCAUCUUCAGAGCAGGCUGAGAUCCAGAGCAUUCCCCAGAGCACGCUGAGAGCCUUGGCAUGAAAGCAGGCCAUUCUGCAUUAGAGCACCUCUGCUUGCGCUGGGGACAUUUAGACGCUGCUGUCUCAAACGUGCACUGCAGAACUUUCACUACAAAUAAGACGGUGCUGAAGGUGAGCUGACAACCUCUGAUGACAGCUGUUUGGGACAGCCUGAGGCAGCGGCUGGCCCCAAUGAGUCUGCAGCGAGUGUUAGGUAAACUUUCGCUCACAGAACAGCAUGACCAAAGGAGAGCACUGGAAUGAGGAGAAGACUGGAAAACACAACCUGUCGGGAAAGGCAAACUUCUUACAUCGGCAGAGAUUGGAUGAAGGAAAGCCCAGCCAUUCAAACCUAAACCUUGUCGUUAACCUCCCCACCCCCCAAAAAAACAACAACAAAAACCCAGAAGGGAAUUUGCCUUCUGUGUCCACAGGCAGCUGGAAAAAAAUGUAAUGGCCUUGAAUAAGUAAUGGGUUUAAACAGCGGCAAGGAGAAAUUAUGCAAAAUAUUAGCGGAUAUUUUGCAUUUGUUCCCACUGCUGAGUACCUGGAGAGAGUGCCGACAAGGCCGUAGCAUCGCUGCACGAGCUUUUUUAGGAGCAGCUUCUGGGCUGCUGUGUCUGCCUGGCACCGGGCAGGGCAGAUCAUCUCUCAGAAUUUCUUCUUUCCUUCCCACCUGCUUCCCAUAAUAGCCGUUGCUCUGCUUUAUUCUUCAUAUUUCACACUUUCAGGCUAAAAAAGCCACAAUAGUAUUUAAUUCCUCAAGUGCUUUUACCAUUACAGUUAAAGGACUUGAGCAGUGUUGGAAGUAAUUAUUUGUCUGCAUGUGAAAAUGCUGUACAGAUAGGGUCAAAGAACAUAAUUUUUCUGGUUCUUUUGAUGGCAAAGAGUCAAAAGUAACUGUAAAAGUCUUAAGUAAAUCAAAAAGUUCAGCCGGAGCUUGGAAAACCCAACAAUCGUGCUAGGUCAGUGGUUCCCCCAGUCUGGACUAACACCAGAGUUUCUAGAAUAAAGUAUCCUGAUUCCAACAGUACGAUGAGGCUGGUUUGUUGCAGAAAAUAUUCUGUGGCGUACCUCUUGGCUGUGAAUUGUCCCCCUCACGUUGUUGUGGUGCGUGUUACUCUAUUGCAGAUGACUGCUGAGCAAGCCCGAGUAAAGCACUCAGCUGUGCCAAAAACCGCUCGGAGGUUCUCCGGUCUGAAUUUAUCUUGGUAUGGAACAAAUGAAAAUAACCUGCUUGACUUACCAGACCUUGGGCUGGAAGGUAAUUUUAGUACCUAUCUUCUCUAAGUCAUAUUAGUGUAUUUAGGCAGUCUCAGAAUCCCACCACCACUGGAAAAAUUUAGAUAUAAAGAAAGCAUUUAGCUUAGCCUGAUUCAAUUCAGCAUUUGAUCUGGCAGAUGUAGCAGCCAAAUUUUUACCAAGGGUAACAAAUGAACCCUGGGAUUAAUUCAGACACUCCACAGAUUAAGUGGUGGGAAAUGCACAAACAGAUUAUGGUGAGGCUUUGUAGCUCCCAUGUAGGUAUCGGUUAUUAUUCAGCAAGCUCUUGACUUCUUAAACGAUUCCAGCUGCCUUCUUUUUUUCACUUUUCUUAAGGAAAUAUUGGUGAUGCUGGCAUUCCGCAGUAAAGGAAGUAAAUGCUUUUCACUGUGCAAACUGCUUUAUGACCAUAUU